GAAAAAAGAAAAAAGAGAAAGAAAUCACAGUUGUAACACCAGGAAUUUCUAUUCUUACAGCAGAAAUAGACAUUUGUAAUAAGCUUUGGCUCACAGUCAGGGUUGCCACUGCCACUGCAAAACAGGCAAAUUGAAUUGAAGCAGCUAAAAAAACCUCAGGUUUUGGUGAAGUUUGCAGGUUGGAUUACCGGCAGCUACUGCAGAGAGAAGUUUGGAUUGCAAAUAUGGCAUUUGUUGACCCUGGGCAUUGUUUAAUGCCCUGUAUAGACCAUCGUACAGACCAUGUCAGAAUUCCUAGUCUUUUACUUCUAAAUUUUAUUACAUCGUGUGAAAUUUAGAAAAAUAUAAGCUGUUUAUUUUCUUGAUCAAGAUAGGUGAAGAAAUACAGAAAAGAAAGAAAUAAUGAAAGCAAACCCCAACUUUCAGAUUUGGACACACCUUUGCUAAAAACUAUCAACAUUUUCCCCUUGAAAUUCUGAGUGGAAAGAUAUGUGCUUCCCUAAGUCAGGAGCUGUAUGUGCACUCCCCACCCCGAAACAUUUUUUGGGCAAAUGGAAUCAUUAAAGGAAUGAGAGGUAUCUACUCUUCAGUUCCCACUCAUUGACACAAACAGAAAACGCUACUGCAGCUUUCAGAGGUGACAGCUACUGUCUUCAAGGUGGAGAUAAGAGGUAAAUGGAGGGAGGUCAUACCUCAACUCCAGGAAUCUUGAAACUAAAAUGUUUUCUCAAAAAGCCAUGCACACAUUCAAAAAAAACCUUGGAUUUUCUAGAGCAGAUCUAUUAUCUUUUUUCUGGGUUUUUUUUUUUCAUUGUCUCCAUGAGUAAACUUAUAUUAGAAACCACACCUAAAAUUGGUUACCAGUUACACUUCUGGGGCCAGAAAGCAAAGGAAAUUAAUAAAAGGGAAACACCCUAGGGAGAAACUGAAUGAACUCUUAGAUGGCUAAAAUUUUGUGACUAAUCAGCAUCCUCUUUAAAUGUACCAUAUCCAAGUCUGACCUUUUUACUUAGUAGAAAAACAAUACAAAGAUUGCAGUUUCCAUUUUAAAUACAAUCUUUUUGUUCAAUUGUCAACCAGGAGUGGUUUUAAAUAAAACCACUUUCUGUAUUUUCCUCAGAGGUGUCUUAAUUUUCCCUAUCAAACUCACAAACCAAAGGUACUAAAGUCAGCAAGACCUAAUGUCUAAUUUACUUAUACCUAUGAUGAAAUCUAGUGCCAAGGAUCAUCCAUGGCCAUUGCCCCACUUCAAAUAUUCAUGAGCCUCCACAAUCCAAAAUGCAUUAAAUGUGGGCAGGUUGCCAAUAACACACAAUCUUCCUAAUGACAGGGAGCUUUCUCAGAUCAAAGGAGCAAGAUGUUAAAGACUUCAAACUAAACUGUCUUUGUAAGAGACACCCAGAAAAGAAAUGCCAGAUCCCACACCCUGUUUCAGUUAUGAAACAUCAAUGAAAUAGAGAAAAUAAUAAACAUUCAUUCAUUCCUCUUUGGAACUCAUUUUUUUGCAACAACUUUGCUUCUUUCCUUUCUUACCAUUGCACUCAAACACUAAGGAUGUUAUACACUAAAACUGGAAAAUAUUAUUAAUGCUUUCAAAGACAAAAUGACUACUAAGGAGUUAAUAGCAUUUAUGCCAAUAUGAUAUCGCUAAUGGAGCCUGAGUGGCAUGUAGAGAAUACUACAAAAGCAAAGUUAAAACAGGGAUAAAGAGCUAUGAAGAAUACAUAUAAAGCAAAUAUACCUAAUAAUUUAAGUUGUCCCUUUAUGUCAUUUGUCAUCUGGCUGCAUCUGCUCUUAAACCUGUGCACCUGUGCUCUGUUCCUGGAAAUAUUAGGCAUGCAGCCAAUUUCAUACCCAGCCAUUCCUAUGGUCAGACCCAGCUAUCAGUGCUUUUGUAUGUAUAUGUAUAUUAAAUCAAGUAUCAACCCCCGGGCUCUGAACUACUUCUGACUGACAGAACCAACAGAAAGUUCCAGGCUAAUUACUUCUAAGGAAUAGUUCCCAGAGAAAAGAGUUUCCACUGACCUACUUUGGACUUACUGAGAUAAUUUAUCAGGUAAGAUAAUUAAGGGAAUAUAAGGCUGUUUCUAAAGUGAAAUCAGAAAUAUUUGCUGAAAUCAUAAGUUGGUAUUCCCAAUGCUAUCAGAUGGAGCUUUAUUACUUUGCAAUGAGUCAAUUUUAUUAUAUUUGACUUAUUUAUAAGCCAUUCUUCUUCUUUAUAAAUUAUAUUUGGCAGGGUGUAUUUGAGAAUCCCUUUUAUGUAUAAAUGUAUUAGUUUUGACUGUUUUCAGUCUGGAUAUAAAGAGAAAUGAUAUUUUAAUCCCUUUCUUCUUCUCUUAACCCCUUCCCCAUAAACAGGCACACACAUCCCUUCACACAGGUGUUUCAGUUACUUUCGAAGUCCAUCCUUAAUGAAAGAUACCUCUAUUAUGAGAAUGGAUGUACUGGCGUGUGAAUAACUUGUCCUGUUGAAUUUUAACCCUCUUUUGGAAGCUUAAUCCUUUCCUACAUUUAAGUUAAUAUCUAUAACUGAAAAAGUAUUUUGUAGCAAUGGUCUUCCUUUCCUAUUGAGAGAACCUAAAAUUUUCUGAUUUUUUACAGCCUUGAUGUUCUCCAUGUAAGGAAAAUGCAAGAGAAAAACCUUGAAAUGAAAUCAUAGAACAUAAACUACGGUCUUAGAUUAGAUUACAAGCCAUCUGUUUUCUCAAAAUAAAAGCAUUAAAAUGUUAUGUCAUUAGUAUCAUAGUUUGUCAAUGCCAUCUAAUUAUUAUUUUUUCUCUUCUUCUUUUAUUCUCCUUCUCUUUCCCCUAUUUAUUAAUUUUUUUAUUCCCAUCUCCAGUGUGACUUUCUUCUGAACUCAAAAACUCAUCUAACUAUGAAAACAUGAUCAGCUAACUGUGUACUGACUUUUUUAUUCUAAUAAAGAUUUAUCUUCAUCUUGAAAGUACUUAAGAAUGUUUGAAUAACUAGAUUUAACCCAGUGGGAAAAUGCAAAAUAUUAACUUAUUAGGCCAGGGUUAAAGAAAGAUCAGGAAUUAAUUUUUCACCUUAGUUUCAGUAUUGUGGAUAUAGUAAGAACAUUAUUUCACGUCAGCAGUUAUUCACAUCUUGUUAUUAUUUCAUAAUGCAGGAUUGAGGAAAUCUGUACACAUAAAAUUAUAGUUUAGUUAGUGUUAAAGGCAAAAUAAAACAAUAAGUUGUACUCUUUGUUGCCACUUAUCAUAUGUAGUAUUUUAUGUUUGAGAGAACCUGGCCGUGGUGUCAUCCAAAAUCAAUAGCGUAUCAACGCUCCCUUGAUUUAGUGAAGGUUCUGUUGCCUAGUACUAUAGUCAGAUCACUCCGCUAUUGCUUCCUAUCUUACUUUACAGCCUCUUUCAUUCUAUGCCUAUUUAAUUUCACUCAUUGCUUUAUUCCUGUGUCCUUCAGCUGUUUCCAAUCUGCCCUUCAUGGCCAUGACUAAAUACAAUAUGUUAACAUACAAAGGUACGUUAACAUACAAGGUAUGUAAAUGAAAAUCAAUGCACUUGUCAUUUCAGCACAAUUCCUUAUUGCUUACAUUCAACAUUUUAAAUACAUUUUAUUUAAACACUAAUAACUUUUGUUCUUGUCUUGGAAGUCUAAUGAUCUUCUUGGCUCCCUGCCCCUACAGCCCUCUAAUCUUCACAGCCGUGGCCACUUAGCCCCCAUCUGGAGGUUCAGGCUUAUUCUGCAUCUUGGAGCUAAUCUUGUCCCUAUGCUGGGGGCAUACAAGAUAUCAUAGCCAAGAGCUAACUGAUUUAGCACUCAGCUUUGCUGCUGGUUUCAUUCUGAUCUUGUAAUUUAUUUCUCAGAUGUAGGCUAUGCUUCUCCCAGCAACUUGUAACCAAGGCUUGGCUUUGUAUACCAGUUGCAAUAUCUAUCCAGGCUUUCCUGUUUCAGUUCUUGACGAGUUUUUCUGAUUGACACCAAUUUCUCCAUGACUAAGGUUCUCCUUUGUCCUUCUCCUUGUCUCAUUUGUAACUGAAUUUAUUUUCUGAAGUACAGUUGCCAUGGCUGGGCCCUGUAGACAAUUGCUAAGCCUUUCUGGUGCCACUAUCCUUGCCCAUAUCUUUUCAUACUGCCUUCAUACCAUGGAUCUGAACUUUUGCAAGAAUACCAGGAUUAACCCCCUGCUUGCCUGGAUGUUUUCCCACUUCCAGCUGCAAACAUCUACCUAGACCAGCUCUAACCUUGCAGGCCUUGGAGAGUCACUGCAAAUAUGCUGCCUGCAAUCUGGCCAUCUCAUUGUCUAGACAUGACAGCAAAGACAUAUUGUUUCAAUUGCAUCUUUGGUUGAAUUGUUAUGCUAACAACCUUUAGUUACUUUCACCUCGUAUCUUCAUCUUGGUCCUGCCACUUUAACACUUUAAAACUCAGUUUUCUCUUUUUAGAGUAAAAUAAUAAUGGAAUCUACCUCCUAUGGCUAUUUUGAAGAUAGCUGAGAAAAAAAAACAGUAUACAAAUGGAUAAAACCCAUAGUAAACAACCAAUAAUUUUCAGCUGCUCUUAAAAGCUCAUGUCUUAAAUGUCUUGGAGAAUGGAGCUAUACCACUUAAAGAAUAAUCAUUAAAAAGAUAAGGAACUAGGAAAAUUAAAAUUCUUAAAAAAAAGAGACUCAUGUACAUUUUUUAAAAAGUGAAACAAUUUAUAAGAAAACAGCUUGAAAAAAUGAUGCUGAAAUACAGAUGCAGUCACCAAUAAACGUUAGAAACGAAAUAUUUUAAGGAUACAUUUCCUAUUUGUGUGUCUUGAUCUUAUGACUACAGAAGAGCCCUAAAGCAUUUAGGAAGGAGAAAGAGUCUUUGAAUUAGUCAUUUAUUUUAGAGUAGUAUUUCCAUAAUCCCCUGGGGGUCUUGUAGAAAAGUAAAAUUUUGAGUCCCACUUCUCUGAAAUUCUGAUUCAUUAAUUUUGGGGCAGAACUAAAUAACUGGUAUGUUUAAAAAAAUUCUCAAAGUACUUCUGGCAAUCUCUCAGUUUUGGGAACCACAAAUUCAUCAGCCAUUAAGGUCCCUAGGAUGUUUUUUAAAAACCAUACAUUUGUUGGCUGGGCGUGGUAGCUCACACCUGUAAUUCCAGCACUUUGGGAGGC
rnacentral:lncRNA from 1 species